GACAGAGGGGGCAAGCGUUGCUCGGAAUCACUGGGCGUAAAGGGCGCGUAGGCGGGAUGGCAAGUCAGUCGUGAAAUCUCUCGGCUCAACCGAGAAACGUCGGCUGAUUCUGCCGUUCUUGAGGGAUGCAGAGGAGACUGGAAUUCCCGGUGUAGCGGUGAAAUGUGUAGAGAUCGGGAGGAACACCGGUGGCGAAGGCGGGUCUCUGGGCAUUUCCUGACGCUGAGGCGCGAAAGCGUGGGGAGCAAACAGG
rnacentral:rRNA from 1 species